AUGAAGACCUUAUGCUGGAACUGUCGCGGGAUUGGCGAUCCCGUGACGGUUCGUGAGCUCCACGAUCUAGUGGAGGUGUCUGCGCCGAGGGUGCUAUGUAUUGUGGAGACGCAAAUUGCAAAGUACCGGGUGGAAGGUUUGGCGGGUAGACUAGGUUUUGAUAGUAGUUUUGGAGUAGGUAGUAGUGGGAGAAGUGGAGGUUUAUGCAUGUACUGGAAGAAUAAUGUUAAUGUUGAAAUAAAAACUUUCUCGCAGUAUCACAUCGACUCAGUGGUGACGGAGCCAGGAAAGGACCCUUGGCGGCUCUCAUGCUUCUAUGGGGCUGCCAAUAGGAGCUUAAGAUAUAAAACAUGGGACACUAUGAAAUUCCUGCGUGGUGAGAACUCACUGCCCUGGGUUUGCAUUGGCGACUUCAAUGAGAUCUUGAGGCCGGAGGAGCAAUUUGGACCAAAUGAGGGAGACGCUGCUCAGAUUGCUGGGUUCAGGGAGGCGGUGGAUGUGUGCGAGCUGGCAGACUUGGGAUACAAGGGGCUAGACUAG
rnacentral:rRNA from 1 species